rnacentral:rRNA from 1 species
GACGAACGCUGGCGGCGUGCUUAACACAUGCAAGUCGAACGGUGAAGCGCCUUCCUUUUUGGUGGGUGUGGAUGAGUGGCGAACGGGUGAGUAACACGUGAGUAACCUGCCCCCUUCUUCUGGAUAACCGCAUGAAAGUGUGGCUAAUACGGGAUAUUCUGGGUCUGUCGCAUGAUGGGUCUGGGAAAGAUAUUGUUUCGGUGGGGGAUGGGCUCGCGGCCUAUCAGCUUGUUGGUGGGGUGAUGGCCUACCAAGGCGGUGACGGGUAGCCGGCCUGAGAGGGUGGACGGUCACACGGGGACUGGGACACGGCGCAGACGCCGGCGGGAGGCAGCAGGGGGGAAUAGUGGACAAUGGGCGCAAGCCUGAUGCAGCGACGCCGCGUGAGGGAUGGAGGCCUUCGGGUUGUGAACCUCUUUCGCCAGUGAAGCAGGCCUGCCUCGUUUGUGGGUGGGUUGACGGUAGCUGGAUAAGAAGCGCCGGCUAACUACGUG